rnacentral:rRNA from 1 species
AACGAACGCUGGCGGCAGGCCUAAAACAUGCAAGUCGAACGAUGUAGCAAUACAUAGUGGCGCACGGGUGCGUAAUGUAUCGGAACGUGCCCAGUUGUGGGGGAUAACUGCUCGAAAGAGCAGCUAAUACCGCAUACGACCUGAGGGUGAAAGCGGGGGAUCGCAAGACCUCGCGCAAUUGGAGCGGCCGAUAUCAGAUUAGGUAGUUGGUGGGGUAAAGGCUCACCAAGCCAACGAUCUGUAGCUGGUCUGAGAGGACGACCAGCCACACUGGGACUGGGACACGGCCCAGCCUCCUACGGGAGGCAGCAGUGGGGAAUUUUGGACAAUGGACGCAAGUCUGAUCCAGCCAUGCCGCGUGCGGGAAGAAGGCCUUCGGGUUGUAAACCGCUUUUGUCAGGGAAGAAACGCUCUGGGUUAAUACCUCGGGGUAAUGACGGUACCUGAAGAAUAAGCACCGGCUAACUACGUGCCAGCAGCCGCAGUAA